rnacentral:rRNA from 1 species
GAUUGAAGUCAGUCGUGUCUGGGGGGGUUCAGCCGGCUCCGCCGGUGCAUUCCCCCCUCUGGACAGGUCAACAUCAGUUUUGUCAGGUGGAUAAGGGCGGUGGGAAGGUGGCACCCUCGAGGUGUGUUAUAGCCUGCCGUCACAUGCAUCGGGUGAGACUGAGGCACGCAGCUCGCCUUCAUGGCCGGGGUUCGCCCACGUCCGAGCUUGGGAUGUUGACGUAAUGGCUUUAAACGA